rnacentral:rRNA from 1 species
GAAAGCAAAUAAGAGCGUAUGGGGAAUGCCUAGGCUCUCAGAGAAGACGAAGGACGUGAUAAGCUGCGAAAAGCUACGAUGAGGUGCAAAUAACCGUUAUUAAUCGUAGAUGUCCGAAUGGGGCAACCCAGCUGGUUGAAGACCAGUUACUCGAAAGAGAUAAAACCCGGGGAACUGAAACAUCUAAGUACCCGGAGGAGGAGAAAAUAAGAAAAUGAUUCCGCAAGUAGUGGCGAGCGAACGCGGAAGAGCCCAAACCAUAUUGAGCAAUUGAUAUGGGGUUGAAGGACUACAUAAUUUUUACUGAACUAAGCAGAAUCGGAUGGGAAUCCGGGCCAAAGAGGGUGAUAGUCCCGUAGGCGUAAGAAUCAGUAAGAAGGUAGUAUCCUGAGUAGCACGAAACCAGAGGAAUUUUGUGUGAAUUUGCCGGUACCAUCCGGUAAGGCUAAAUACUCCUGAGAGACCGAUAGCGAACAAGUACCGUGAGGGAAAGGUGAAAAGAACUGCUAGGAGCAGAGUGAAAAGAACCUGAAACCAUACGCUUACAAGCGGUCGGAGCAAUGCAUCUAGUGUGCAACGUGACGGCGUGCCUUUUGCAUAAUGAGCCUACGAGUUACUCUUCAUUGGCCAGGUUAAGGUAUAAAGUACCGCAGCCGCAGGGAAACCGAGUCUGAACAGGGCGAUACAGUCAGUGGAGGUAGACGCGAAACCAGGUGAUCUACCCAUGAGCAGGUUGAAGUUGUGGUAACACACAAUGGAGGACCGCACCAAUAUACGUUGAAAAGUGUUUGGAUGACUUGUGGGUAGGGGUGAAAGGCCAAUCAAACCUGGAAAUAGCUCGUACUCCCCGAAAUGCAUUUAGGUGCAGCGUUGGAGUUAAUUUGUACAGGAGGUAGAGCUACCGAUAGGGCUAGGGGGAUUCAAAUCCUACCAACCCCUGACGAACUCCGAAUGCCUGUACAAAGAACCAGCAGUGAGGCUAUGGGUGCUAAGGUCCAUAGCCGAGAGGGAAACAACCCAGACCGACAGCUAAGGUCCCCAAGUGAAUACUAAGUUGAAUGAACGAGGUGGAGUUGCAUUGACAGCUAGGAUGUUGGCUUGGAAGCAGCCAUUCAUUUAAAGAGUGCGUAACAGCUCACUAGUCGAGUGACUCUGCGCGGAGAAUACUCGGGCAUUAAGUAUAUCACCGAAGCUAUGGAAUAGAUAAUUUAUUAUUUAUUGGUAGGGGAGCAUUCUAAUAGCGGCGAAGUUGUUCUGUAAGGAACGGUGGAGCGAUUAGAAAAGAAAAUGUAGGCAUGAGUAACGAUAAAACAGGUGAAAGUCCUGUUCACCGAAAGACCAAGGAUUCCAAUUCUAUGCAAGACAGAGUUGGGUUAGUCGGGACCUAAGGCAAAGCCGAGAGGCGGCGUCGAUGGCGAACUGGUUAAUAUUCCAGUACUUACUGUAACUGCGAAGCAGGGACGGAGGAGACGGUUGACUGCGGGCUGAUGGAAUAGCCCGUUGAAGAGAGGACAUCGGGAGUGUAGUGAAGUACGCACUCCGCAGGAAUCUCGAAAGUACUAGAAGCUCUUUGGAGCGGAUAGAUAAUGUCAUUAGUCACACUUCCAAGAAAAGCUGCUAAGCAUCAGGUUACAGCAACCCGUACCGUAAACCGACACAGGUGGUCGAGGAGAGUAUCCUAAGGUGCACGAGAGAAUCAUGGCUAAGGAACUAGGCAAAAUGGGCGCGUAACUUCGGGAGAAGCGUCGCCAGUGUAAGAACUGGCCGCAGUGAAGAGGCCCAGGCGACUGUUUAGCAAAAACACAGGACUCUGCGAAGCUGAAAGGCAAAGUAUAGGGUCUGACACCUGCCCGGUGCCGGAAGGUUAAGGAAGGGGGUUAGCGUAAGCGAAGCUCUUGACUGAAGCCCCGGUAAACGGCGGCCGUAACUAUAACGGUCCUAAGGUAGCGAAAUUCCUUGUCGGGUAAGUUCCGACCUGCACGAAUGGUGUAACGAUCUGGGCACUGUCUCAGCCAUGAGCUCGGUGAAAUUGAAGUAUCGGUGAAGAUGCCGAUUACCCGCAACGGGACGAAAAGACCCCGUGAACCUUUACU